rnacentral:rRNA from 1 species
UACAGAGGGUGCGAGCGUUAAUCGGAAUUACUGGGCGUAAAGCGUGCGUAGACGGUUAUUUAAGUCGGGUGUGAAAGCCCCGGGCUCAACCUGGGAAUUGCAUUCGAGACUGAAUAGCUAGGGUACGGUAGAGGGAAGUGGAAUUUCCGGUGUAGCGGUGAAAUGCGUAGAUAUACGGAGGAACACCAGCGGCGAAGGCGGGUCUCUGGGCCGAUACUGACGCUGAGGAGCGAAAGCGUGGGGAGCGAACAGG